rnacentral:tRNA from 2 species
GCUGGUGUAGCUCAAUCGGCAGAGCAACUGACUUGUAAUCAGUAGGUUGAGGGUUCAAUUCCUUUCACCAGCUCCA